CUUGGUCAUUUAGAGGAAGUAAAAGUCGUAACAAGGUUUCCGUAGGUGAACCUGCGGAAGGAUCAUUCAUAACAGGCUCAGUAUGGGGGCCCUUUUAAAUUUCCAUAUUCUUCACCUUGUGUGCAAUGUUUUUUAUUUAACAUAUUUAAACGCUUAAAUUUUUUUUUUAAAUUGUCUGAAAUAAAUAUUGUGAAUUUUUUUAAUUCAAAAUACAACUUUCAACAACGGAUCUCUUGGCUCUCGCAUCGAUGAAGAACGCAGCGAAAUGCGAUGAGUAAUGUGAAUUGCAGAAUUCAGUGAAUCAUCGAAUCUUUGAACGCAUAUUGCGCUCUUUGGUAUUCCGAAGAGCAUGCUUGUUUGAGUAUCAGUAAACACCUCAAAGCUUUUGGAUUUUUUAAUCGAAAAGCUUUGGACUUGAGCAAUCCCAACACCAAUCUUUUUGAGAUCGGUGGCGGGUUGCUUGAAAUGCAGGUGCAGCUGGACAUUCUCCUGAGCUAAAAGCAUAUUCAUUUAGUCCCGUCAAACGGAUUAUUACUUUUGCUGCAGCUAACAUAAAGGGAGUUUGACCGUAUUGGCUGACUGAUGCAGGAUUUCACAAGGGUCGGCAACGAUUCUUGUUAAACUCGAUCUCAAAUCAAGUAAGACUACCCGCUGAACUUAAGCAUAUCAAUAAGCGGAGGA
rnacentral:rRNA from 1 species